rnacentral:rRNA from 1 species
GCUUCGAGGAGUCUGGCGGCGCCAUCACGCCGGCCUCUGUCCAAGAGGUCAUCGCGCUCAACAGGCCCUCACUCCUCGGCUCCGCCUGCGGAGGUCGUCGACGCCAUCGCAGGGUGCCGCUUUGAGGCCGGGGUUGAAGCUGCCACCGAGGAGGCCAUCUUGACGCAGAUGUUGCAGGCACUCCUGACGUUCAUGCGCUCCCCUGCGAUUAGUGACCAACACAUCUGCUCUGUCGUGAGCAUGUGCUUCGUGUCAUACAGGUCGCGGCCAAAGGCGAGCUCGUGCAGCGGUUCAGGUGCAUCCCAUAGGGUAUGGUGA